rnacentral:rRNA from 1 species
AGAACGAACGCUGGCGGCAUGCCUAACACAUGCAAGUCGAACGCUCUUGGGGCUUCGGUCUCAGGGGAGUGGCGCACGGGUGAGUAGCGCGUGGGAACCUGCCCUGUUGUGGGGGAUAACCGAGGGAAACUUCGGCUAAUACCGCAUAAGCCGGUUGUCUUGAAGGAGAUGGCCGGGAAAGAUUUAUCGCGACAGGAGGGGCCCGCGUCGGAUUAGCUAGUUGGUGGGGUAACGGCCCACCAAGGCGGUGAUCCGUAGCUGGUCUGAGAGGAUGAUCAGCCACACUGGGACUGAGACACGGCCCAGACUCCUACGGGAGGCAGCAGUGGGGAAUAUUGGACAAUGGGCGCAAGCCUGAUCCAGCAAUGCCGCGUGAGUGAUGAAGGCCUUAGGGUUGUAAAGCUCUUUCGCCCGCGACGAUGAUGACGGUAGCGGGAGAAGAAGCCCCGGCUAACUUCGUGCCAGCAGCCGCGGU